CCAGCGCCUCUACCGGAAUCGGAAGCUGUGGGUGCGCGCCGGGGGGACGGCUUUGUAGCCACGUAGCUUUCGGCUUUGCCUCCUGCCAUGUCCCACAGGCCUGGAGAAUGUGGCCCCAGACUGAAAUGAGGAGAAGGUGGCCCCGCCGAGGGUUGUGUCAACUGUUGGGGUGAUCAGACCCAACACCAGGCCCGUGGGGGCUAUGAAGUCUGGCGGAGUCAAAGGAAUGAGAAAAGACAAGAGAGAAAGUGGGACCAUGGGGCCAACACUAGUGUGGAGGCUGCAAAGGCUCCGAGUUCUGGGAGCCUAUUUAUUGCUGGUUGCAGUGUUUGAUGAGCAAGAUCUACAUCAUGGAGGUGAUGACACCAGUGCCAGCUCCAUGCAUAGCCAGAGC